rnacentral:lncRNA from 1 species
GUUAUGCUUGUCUUUUCCACUAUUUUCCUUUAUCUCUUUGAGAAUACUGAUUAUACUUGCCUUACAUUUAAUUUUUCGUUUAUAUUGUUUUUGGCCCGCCAACUCUUCUUUAUGCGAUGUAAGGUAGAGGGAUUUACCUCAAAUUGGAGAUUUUCUAACUUUACAAGCUUUGUUGAACUACUCUUUGUGGGUCUCUCUCCACAGUCAGCAACGCUACCCUUAGGGAUCCUCCAUUCCUCCUCUGUGGUCCUAGCAGCAAUGGUGGGGAAGAGCCAGCCAAAAUGCCUGAGAAUCUCCUGUUAUUCACCUUCUACAACAGCAAGUCAUAGGAUCACUGGCGCAGCUGAAUCAGAGUGGAGGAGGAGGAAGAAAAUGGUGGGACUGAGCCUGGUCAGUUGAACAGGCCUAGGUCACAAAAAGCUGUGCAAGCCAAAUGAUGACUGUUUACACCUUAUCCUUGGUUGACAAGAAGUCUUUGAAAGAUACCGAGGAAAUGACAUGACCAUAUUGGAGCUUUAAGGUCAUUCUGGGUAAGGUGUGAAUUGUAGAGACUCACUUAAUUUGGGAAGCAGAGAGACCAGUUAGUAGUGAAAUAACCCAAAGCAGUGUAUAAUGCCCGUUCAGUUAAGUAACCAUGGAAUUGAAGUAGACAAGGAUGAUUCUAGAUCCAUCAAAAAGGUGAAAAUGACAAGAUAUAGAGACCAAUA